rnacentral:rRNA from 1 species
GAUGAAUGCUGGCGGCGUGCCUAAUACAUGCAAGUCGUGCGGCAGCGCGAGUAGUUUACUACUUGGCGGCGAGCGGCGGACGGCUGAGUAACGCGUGGGAACGUGCCCCAAAGUGAGGGAUAAGCCCGAGAAAUCGGGUCUAAUACCGCAUAUGGUCUUCGGAUUAAAGCUUCGGCGCUUUGGGAGCGGCCCGCGUACGAUUAGAUUGUUGGUGAGGUAAUGGCUCACCAAGUCGACGAUCGUUAGCUGGUCUGAGAGGAUGAUCAGCCAGACUGGAACUGAGACACGGUCCAGACUCCUACGGGAGGCAGCAGUAAGGAAUCUUCCACAAUGGGGGCAACCCUGAUGGAGCAACGCCGCGUGCAGGAUGAAGGCCCUCGGGUCGUAAACUGCUUUUAUGAGUGAAGAAUAUGACGGUAACUCAUGAAUAAGCACCGGCUAACUACGUGCCAGCAGCCGCGGUCAUACGUAGGGUGCAAGCAUUAUCCGGAGUGACUGGGCGUAAAGAGUUGCGUAGGCGGUUAGUAAAGCGAAUAGUGAAACCUGGUGGCUCAACCAUACAGACUAUUAUUCGAACUCACUAACUCGAGAGUGGUAGAGGUAACUGGAAUUUCUUGUGUAGGAGUGAAAUCCGUAGAUAUAAGAAGGAACACCAAUGGCGUAGGCAGGUUACUGGACCAUUUCUGACGCUAAGGCACGAAAGCGUGGGGAGCGAACGGGAUUAGAUACCCCGGUAGUCCACGCC